rnacentral:lncRNA from 1 species
UGUGAUAAACCCAAAGCCUGUAUUAAAUCCAUAUUGCAUAGUUAUUUGUUUUACUGUGUAGGGUCAUGAGCCCACUGUCACACACGUGCUAAGCAAGCACUCUACCACUGAGCUACAGCAAGCCUGUUAUUCUUUUCAUUAUUAUUGCUACAGCAUAUCACCACUGAUAUCACCACCACCGUCAUCAUCACCACCACCAUCAUCAUCAUCGCCACCACCGUCUUCAUCACCGGCCAUGCUCCCAUCUGUAACUCUGUCCUACUGCUACUUUAUGUACCUAUCACUACAUCAGCCUCAGCUCUCAUUAGUGAGAGAGGUGCUAAGUCACAGAGUUGUUCCGAGUCCUUGCAUGGCUGAGGUCUCAUUCUAGGCAAUGAGACAAUGAAGAAUAGACACACACACACAUUUGUCAAUGGACAGAAAGGCUGAGAUUUUGUGGACUAAGGGUUCCAAUGGGAAAGCAGAAGGACCCAAGAAGCACAGCGUGUUUGUUACGUACAAGGAGGAGGGGCUGUGAUAUGCAUACAGAUUAUCAAGGAGUGGGGUUUAUUGUGUACAAAAAGAAGGCAAGGAUAUUGCCUACAGCUGAACAAGGUGGCAGAGUUAUUGAUUACAGAUAAGCAAGGAGGCAGCAUAAGAAUAAAAAUUUUUUUAUGGUUUUAGAGCUUUAUUGUAGAAAGGCAGAGAGAAAAAGAGAAGGUAGAAAGAGAGAGGCUGGCCAUGGCCACGUGGAGAGAGGGGGAAGGGAGAGAGAGAAGGAGGGCUGGACUGUUUUCAGCCUCUGAGACUUACUGCUGACUCAGCUCACCCCUUCCUCGUUCUUUCUGAGUUCUGGCUGUCUGGUUCAAUCUGCUC